CAAGAAACUGGCAUUUCCGAACAAGUAACGCCACUAAACGACUAGAACAGCAAUGAUGACUGCGGGUAUUACACGAGCACAUUCUAUAAUGCAACAACAUUUGCCAAAGGUAUAAUUUUGUCAUUGGCACGGACUACUCAGAAGUAUACGCACAUCUACGGUGCUGUUCGCUUAGCAACAGAUUACGAACGUCGAGCACUAAAUAUGCAGGUUGGAGCAUUUAACUGGGAACACCUGAACAUGUAUCUGAAUUCUACACCAAACCAGUCUAUUGUCAUGCUUUAUAAAGCAGCCACUAAUGUGAGAUCAGUAAAUUCGAAUGUACCUACGCUACACGUUUAUAUUCGUCUAGCGGUGAUAAGAAGGUGGACCAGGCAUUGCUGGCACCCGUCAAUUAUGCUCUCUAAGCUUAUUCAAAUGAUAUCGCUUUGAAGAUCAAUCAUGCUUUCAAUUACUGGCUCGAAGUACCACAGAAUAAACUCGACGAGAUCCAAGAUUUGAUAAAGAUACUUUAUAAUGCUACCUUCAUGCUCGAUGAUAUUGCAGAUUCCGGAGCUUUAAGAUUCAAUGUCCCUGCUGCUUAUCAUCUCUAUGAAAUGGCCAUUACGAUCACAUCUGCUUGUAUUGCUAUUAAUAUGGUCUAUGAAAGAAUUCAUACUUUGAACCAUCCAGAGAUGAACUACAAUGGUAUGCAAUGGUAUGGUAACGAUCUGUUCGCUAUUAGACACAAUGGACAACCACAACAAUAGCCAACCGUCAUUGUAGACUUUAUGACGGUGGCCCAUACGGUCGCUUUCGUUGCGGGGAUCACCGUCAUAAAGUCUACAAUGACGGUCAGCUAUGAUUAUGGUUGUCCAUUGUGUCUACUAGCGAGCGGAUCACCCUGUAUAAUCGCUGCAAGGAUCUUGCGAGGUCGGAAAAUCGGUCGGAAGUCGAUCUUUACAACUGAAGCUGACUGCAAUUAGUAAUCUAACACCUUUUUAGACAAGGAUAGAGGUAGACUUUUCGUUCAGGACUCGUUAGGUUUCAUUAGGCUCAGAAACAUGUUUGAAUUCGUCAAAUCUAUUUUAAAAAAUAUCACCUUAUUAUAUAUCAUAUAUAUAAAUAUUACCUAAUUUAUAUUAAAUAGUAAGAUGAAACUUUUUGAUUACUUUUUUUAACAUUUAUUAACUUUUUUAAACAUUUAUUAAUUUUGUUUAACUUUUUUAAACAUUACUGUUUAUUAAUAUUUCUAUGUAAAUGAAUAAUUGUCGGUUAACGAUGAUUUCCAUUUUCACCAUUAAAAAAUAUCGAAGGAAAUUCGCCUUCGAAACAGCCUCCAAUUUUUCUUUAAUGUUCAAAGAAAUUUUUCAAAAACUUAGUGUACAAUUUACACGAUACAUCUAUAAAAUAAACUAUUUUUUAAGAAAACGCCAAACAAGAAAAGCUUUCGAACUUGAAACGUUGUGUGAAUACUGAACAUAUUGUUCUAUACAAAGAAUAAUUUCUUUUUCUUAUCCUUUUUCUUAUAAUUUUAUAAAUAACAUUUAUUCUUAUAUCUGAAGAUCUUAUUAAAAUUAGAAAUAAAAAUAAUAACCUUACAAAUCCGUUGGUUAC